AUUAAGUUUACGAGAGAGGUUUUUUACCUGCUUGCAAAUCGUGACUACAAAGACCCUUGGAGAGUCCGGGGGCCGUGAGCUAUCCGUGGAAGCUGGGGGGCCAGAGAGCCACUGUGAAUGAAGGCAGAGGGCUGGGUGCUCAGCAGGCAUGCCUAAAAAUCACCAUUGAACGCCAGAGUUCAGCGGCCCGCACUCAGCCAAGCUUCCUGUCAAAGCCAAAGGAGCCCAGAAAACCAAAAAAAAAAAAAAAAAAAAAAAAAAAGUAUUCACAGCUCUGAGCCUUCCCCACUUCCCAGGCUGAUUUUGUUGGAAAAUAUUCGGAGUUGGAGAGAGGGAAAGAAAGAGAAACGGAGUGCAGCCUGGGUGUUUCGAGAUCCUGUGUCCGCUGUGGGGUUGUUUAACUUCUUGGAGCCGCAUAUCCACACAACUUAGAAGGGCGUCAUGAGGGUAGAUGAGAUAACGCACAGAAAGAACAACCUCGUUUCUUUUCCUCCCUCUCUCCCUCCCUCUCUUCCUUCCUACCUUCAUUGCUGCUCACAGGAGGAGCAUCUCAUCAGAUCUCAUCAGAUCAAGAAGAGAACAAUACAAGAACCAUCUGGAAAGAUGGCGCUGUCUCCCAUCUGAGUUGUAGCGUAUAGAUUUCAACCUGGGCACACGUGUGUCUGUGCAACUUUGCCUGGACAGCUGGGGACUUUUGAUUCCGGUUUUCAGACCUUUCUUCAAGAGUCUACAUUUUGCCUUGACCAGGAUCAAAAAAAUCAUCAAACGUGUAUUAAUUAUCUAUUGCUGCAUAUUAAAUUUCUCCCAAACUUA